UUCCUUAGUACGGCGAGUGACCGGGAUGAGCUCAAAUUUAAAAUCUGGCGUCUUUCAGGCGUCCGAGUUGUAAUCUAUAGAGGCGUUUUCCGCGCCGGACCGCGUCCAAGUCUCUUGGAAUAGAGUAUCAAAGAGGGUGACAAUCCCGUACUUGACGCGACAACCGGUGCUCUGUGAUACGUUCUCAAUGAGUCGAGUUGUUUGGGAAUGCAGCUCUAAAUGGGUGGUAAAUUCCAUCUAAGGCUAAAUAUUGGCGAGAGACCGAUAGCGAACAAGUACCGUGAGGGAAAGAUGAAAAGCACUUUGGAAAGAGAGUUAAACAGCACGUGAAAUUGUUAAAAGGGAAACGAUUGAAGUCAGUCGUGUGAAAGGUAUUCAGCCGUCUCUGGCGGUGUAUUUGCCUUUCACGGGUCAACAUCAGUUUGAUCCGGUAGAAAAAGGCGGGAGGAAGGUGGCACCCUCGGGUGUGUUAUAGCCUCCUGUCAUAUGUGCCGGACCAGACUGAGGAACGCAGCUUGCCGCAAGGCCGGGGUUCGCCCACGUACAAGCUUAGGAUGUUGACAUAAUGGCUUUAAACGACCCGUCUUGAAACACGGACCA
rnacentral:rRNA from 1 species